rnacentral:rRNA from 1 species
ACUCCUACGGGAGGCAGCAGUGGGAAUCUUAGACAAUGGGGGAAACCCUGAUCUAGCCAUGCCGCGUGAGUGAUGAAGGCCCUAGGGUCGUAAAGCUCUUUCAGCUGUGAAGAUAAUGACGGUAGCAGCAGAAGAAACCCCGGCUAACUCCGUGCCAGCAGCCGCGGUAAUACGGAGGGUGCGAGCGUUAUCCGGAUUUAUUGGGUUUAAAGGGUCCGUAGGCGGAUUAAUAAGUCAGUGGUGAAAUCCCAUCGCUUAACGAUGGAACUGCCAUUGAUACUGUUAGUCUUGAAUGAGGGUGCAGUGGUUGGAAUGUGUAGUGUAGCGGUGAAAUGCAUAGAUAUUACACAGAAACACCGAUUUGCGAAGGCAGAUCACUAACCCU